UACGUAGGCAGCGAGCGUUGUUCGGAGUUACUGGGCGUAAAGGGUGUGUAGGCGGUUUUCUAAGUUUGGUGUGAAAUCUCCCGGCUCAACCGGGAGGGUGCGCCGAAAACUGGGAGACUAGAGUGCGGGAUGGGAGAGUAGAAUUCCUGGUGUAGCGGUGAAAUGCGUAGAUAUCAGGAGGAAUACCGGUGGUGUAGACGGCUCUCUGGACCGCCACUGACGCUGAGGAGCGAAAGCCAGGGGAGCAAACGGG
rnacentral:rRNA from 1 species